GCCAGAAUGGCCGAUGGGUUAAGGCGUUGAAUUUAAGUUCCAAUGGACAUGUGUCCGCGUGGGUUCGAUCCCCACUUCUGGCA